rnacentral:rRNA from 1 species
GAUGAACGCUGGCGGCGUGCAUAACACAUUCAAGUCGAACGAGCUGUAGAAAUACAGUUAGUGGCGGACCGGGGAGUAACGCGUGAGCAAUCUGCCUCUGUGUACGGGAUACCAACCGGAAACAGUUGUUAAUACCGUAUAACGUAUGGAGAUCGCAUGUUUUCCAUACCAAAGAUUUAUUGCACAGAGAUGAGCUUGCGUCCGAUUAGGUAGUUGGUGGGGUAACGGCCUACCAAGCCGACGAUCGGUAGCCGGACAGAGAGGUUGACCGGCCACGUUGGAACUGGGAGAUGGUCCAGACUCCUACGGGAGGCAGCAGUGGGGAAUAGUGGGCAAUGGGCGAAAGCCUGACCCAGCGACGCCGCGUGAGGGAAGAAGGUCUUCGGAUUGUAAACCUUUGUCAACAGGGAAGAAACAAAUGACGGUACCUGUGGAGGAAGCCACGGCUAACUACGUGCCAGCCGCCGCUGUAAAAC